CGUGAGUGAUGAAGGCUUUCGGGUCGUAAAGCUCUGUCAAGUGGGAAGAACAAACCUGAUGCUAAUACCAUCAGGGACUGACGGUACCACUGAAGGAAGCACCGGCUAACUCCGUGCCAGCAGCCGCGGUAAUACGGGGGGUGCAAGCGUUAUUCGGAAUCAUUGGGCGUAAAGAGCGCGUAGGCGGCCCAUUAAGUCAGAUGUGAAAUCCCGGGGCUUAGCCCCGGAAGUGCAUUUGAAACUAUUGGGCUUGAGUAUGGGAGAGGGAAGUGGAAUUCCUGGUGUAGAGGUGAAAUUCGUAGAUAUCAGGAGGAACAUCGGUGGCGAAGGCGACUUCCUGGACCAAUACUGACGCUGAGGCGCGAAGGCGUGGGGAGCAAACAGGAUUAGAUACCCUGGUAGUCCACGCAGUAAACGUUGAACACUAGGUGUAGCGGGUAUUGACCCCUGCUGUGCCGCAGUUAACGCAUUAA
rnacentral:rRNA from 1 species